GGAGGUAUAGCUCAGUGGUAGAGCUCAUACUUAGCAUGCACGAGGUCCUGGGUUCAGUCCUCAGUACUGCCA
rnacentral:tRNA from 1 species